CUUUUUCUUUAAAGUAAAUAUAGCAAUCCAAAAAGGAAUUAAAUACUAACCUUCCAAAAUGCUACCAUAGGCUAAUGUGCAAAAGCAAUCUGUGUAGACAGCAGCAACGGAAGCUUUUAUGGCCUGCUUCUCUUCCUCCAGAUCUGAACGUGCAGCUAUUUUAGAGACUGAUCACAAUGUCACUUCAAGCCUUUGCAACUCUUCUGGCACCAGAGAGAGAAGCUAAUGUGACUCAUUCCGGAGAAGCUCAAAAUACUCCUAUUUAAAAGUCAGAUGCAGACUUACUACAGUGGUGCAUUCCAGAAAAGUGGAUAAACUGAAAACUGAAGGAAAAAUAAAAAAGCUUUUUCUAAUUAUGAAGGGGAAAACAAGAAGAUGAUGAGUACAGUGAACUUGAUUAAAGGAACGGUAGAAAACCAGAAAGGUUGCAAGUGUCAACAGGAAACUCAUUUGCCAUGAAUUACGAGAAGCAGAACUGGAAGAAGAGCAAGGUGUUUUUCAAAAUCAUGCACUGACCAGAGAGGACCAUAAGCAAACACGCUUCCCAACCAUUGAUUAUUAUCACAAUUCCUUCAGUAGUGAAAACUCUUGUUACCUGAUAAUAGUCUUGAAGAAAUUUUGGACAGAGCAAGGAAGACCCAAAACCUGAUGGAAUCAUUCUUUCUCCCCCAUUUCAAAAUUCCCUAUGGACAGACCAGAUGGUCAAGCUUCUAUGGCUCUUCCUGACUUUGAAGACAGUCACCAUCCUUGACUGCUGACCUUUUGAGGUGAGUAGUAAGGCAGGAUUAUGUCUCAGCAGUGAUUUUUGUUUGUUUUUCUCAUACCAACAACACACUAAUAAUUAAUGACUGCUCCACAGUUAGAAAGGGCAUACCUGCUGUACCCAAUGAAUUUGAUCCCAUUGAACUC
rnacentral:lncRNA from 1 species